rnacentral:rRNA from 1 species
UACGGGGGGAGCAAGCGUGUUCGGAUUUACUGGGCGUAAAGGGCGCGUAGGCGGUCGUGACAAGUCACUUGUGAAAUCUCCGGGCUUAACUCGGAACGGUCAAGUGAUACUGUCGGACUAGAGUACAGAAGGGGCAACUGGAAUUCUCGGUGUAGCGGUGAAAUGCGUAGAUAUCGAGAGGAACACCUGCGGCGAAGGCGGGUUGCUGGGCUGAUACUGACGUGAGGCGCGAAAGCCAGGGGAGCGAACGGG